UCGGAGAGUUUGAUCCUGGCUCAGGAUGAACGCUGGCGGCGUGCCUAAUACAUGCAAGUCGAGCGAACUGAUUAGAAGCUUGCUUCUAUGACGUUAGCGGCGGACGGGUGAGUAACACGUGGGCAACCUGCCUGUAAGACUGGGAUAACUUCGGGAAACCGAAGCUAAUACCGGAUAGGAUCUUCUCCUUCAUGGGAGAUGAUUGAAAGAUGGUUUCGGCUAUCACUUACAGAUGGGCCCGCGGUGCAUUAGCUAGUUGGUGAGGUAACGGCUCACCAAGGCAACGAUGCAUAGCCGACCUGAGAGGGUGAUCGGCCACACUGGGACUGAGACACGGCCCAGACUCCUACGGGAGGCAGCAGUAGGGAAUCUUCCGCAAUGGACGAAAGUCUGACGGAGCAACGCCGCGUGAGUGAUGAAGGCUUUCGGGUCGUAAAACUCUGUUGUUAGGGAAGAACAAGUACAAGAGUAACUGCUUGUACCUUGACGGUACCUAACCAGAAAGCCACGGCUAACUACGUGCCAGCAGCCGCGGUAAUACGUAGGUGGCAAGCGUAGCGUUAUCCGGAAUUAUUGGGCGUAAAGCGCGCGCAGGCGGUUUCUUAAGUCUGAUGUGAAAGCCCACGGCUCAACCGUGGAGGGUCAUUGGAAACUGGGGAACUUGAGUGCAGAAGAGAAAAGCGGAAUUCCACGUGUAGCGGUGAAAUGCGUAGAGAUGUGGAGGAACACCAGUGGCGAAGGCGGCUUUUUGGUCUGUAACUGACGCUGAGGCGCGAAAGCGUGGGGAGCAAACAGGMUUAGAUACCCUGGUAG
rnacentral:rRNA from 2 species